CCGUGCAGCCGGGGAGUUAGCGGUGCCCUGUACCUGCAAACCGCUCUAGCAGGGGUGAUAUCUUGCCUCGGGCUAAAUCUGUAGGGCUGCCCUAGGAAAGUGGUGUUGACGUGAGGGUCCUUGCGCAACGGAAAUCUUCGAAUCGUGUCAGGUUGGGAACAAAGCAGCACUAAGGAGAACCUUUCGUGUGAUGUGAGAUUGCCUUUGCUGAGCUGACUACCUAGGUAACGCUUAUGGAGAUAGUACAAAGCAAGAUGCACGG
rnacentral:SRP_RNA from 1 species